rnacentral:rRNA from 1 species
UACGAAGGGGGCUAGCGUUGUUCGGAUUUACUGGGCGUAAAGCGCACGUAGGCGGUUUGUUAAGUCAGGGGUGAAAUCCCACAGCUCAACUGUGGAACUGCAUUGGAUACUGCCUUGCUAGAGUACUGGAGAGGAAACUGGAAUUUACGGUGUAGCAGUGAAAUGCGUAGAUAUCGUAAGGAAGACCAGUGGCGAAGGCGAGUUUCUGGACAGUUACUGACGCUGAGGCACGAAGGCCAGGGGGAGCAAACGGG